UGCGCCUUUCGUCUAAUGGAUAAGACAUCAUAUUUCUAGUGUGAUUAAUGUGAGUUUGAAUCCUGCUGGAUGCAA
rnacentral:tRNA from 1 species